CUGCGCUCUGCGAAUCCCGAGUUCAGCCUUUGGAACUUUGCCCGCGAGUGCUUUGCUGUGCUUAGUAGGUACAUCAGCAGGCUGUCUCCGGGCCCUUCUGAGGCCUGAGAAACCUCUUCCGAGGCCCUGCACUCCAGGGUGGGGCGGGGGAGGGGGGGUGCGGGUAAGUCACUUUCCUUAGAAUGACCGUCAGUGCUUCCUUGUCACCAGAGGGCACAGGUAGGGCGGGGUGGGGGGUGCGGUUUGAGCAGGUGACAGCAGGUUUAUCCUCACUCAGACCUGUGUUGAUACAACACGAGCGGCCUACUGGCGCUCUGGGCGAGCCUGGGUAGGAGAAGCACCUGGAGUGGCUGCCUCACUGUCACCCCAGGGAGGCCACCAGUGGAAUCCCCAGCUGGCCUGGCCCCACCCGGCCUGGCCCCAGCAGGCAAAGGCUCCUCCCUCAGGGGUCGGUGCAAGGAGGUCCCUGGAGAGCUGCAGCCCCCCCACUGGCUCCAGCCCCCAGUCCAGGACCUGCUCAGAAGAAGCUGGGGUAGGAGGCGCUGCUUUGGGGUCUGCAUGAAGCAACAUCUUCUCUCUCUCUCUAUGAAAACAUUGCUUCAUUCAUCAGAGAGGGCAAUAUGAAAAGUUGAUUUACUUUGUUGUCAAAAGGCAAAAAUAGGGACCAGACCGUAUAUUCUGGAGGGAGGAGGUAUUUAGGUUCCAGUGGAUAAAUUGGGGAACAUUUCUGGAGCACAAGCUUUACGGUGGAGCUAGGCUGGCGAUGGAGUG